UAAAGUAAAACUUCAUGUGACAUGACUUCCUAGGAAUAUUAUUUUUCUGCCUGUAGAACUGAUGCAAGUUCGUGACGGUUUAAUCUUUAACCAUCAUGGUGCAGACUUUAGCCUAUCAUGUUCAUACUCUUAGCGUGGUAAAAGUUAUCCAUGCAGUUUAAAACUAUUGUUGGCUUCCUUUACAUUAUCUAUUUGACACCACAUGAAUAAUACUGGAGUAUGUUAUCUGACGAAGGAGCAAAUAUCCUUUUAGCGAAAUUGUUAUUUUCUAUGUUUUCAAGUCGUCCGAUUAAUCGUGAUUAGUCGCCCUAGUCGGUCAGCUAGAACGACCAGCAAGUCGUCUGACUUAAAAACAACUUAUUUUUAUUAGACACAUAUAUGUGACUAUACUCCCAUGUUACCUUUCUUUUGGCAUAGAAUCAGUCAGUAGGAUAUUGUUUUGGAUGAGGCAUUAAUCGGUUCUUAGACUUCAACCAUGUUUUCUGAGUUCAUGCAACAAUUUACAUAAGUGACAGUAUUAAUCUUCAUGAAGCUGUGAUGAAAUUGAAUGCACUGGUUGUUACUGUUUUUAACCAUUCAAUAUGUUGUGCAUGGGAAGUCAUUUUUUGUCACGGAAACAUGCAGUCGUGGGCAUUAACACCAGUUCUUAUUUGCAGUUGUACUAAUCCUCAUUACUUUUUCUUAGUGAAACCUACUUUGUAAGCAUGUGCUGAAGCCUAUUCUUAUUUUCAGGGUG
rnacentral:lncRNA from 1 species